rfam:TPA: Bos taurus chromosome 10, whole genome shotgun sequence.
UCCCUGGUGGUCUAGUGGUUAGGAUUCAAGGCUUUCACUGAUGUGGCCCAGGUUCAAUCCCUGGUCAGGGAA